GUGACGUGAUGAUCUAGUUUAUCCAUUCGCUGAGCGGCAGCCGUCUUGUCUCUGCUCUGCUCCCGUUUUGGGGGCGGGGCCUCUCUGCUGAGGUUCCAGGUUCAUGCUGGCGUUCUGCUGGUUCUGACCCGGAACCGCACGGAGAGAAGGACUCGACCGACUGCUACCAAGACGAUUAACUGUUCUGAUCAC